rnacentral:lncRNA from 1 species
AAAGGUUUCAUCUGGAACCACUACAAGAUAAUUGACUCAACCUUUGGAAGAAAGAAAAGUGGAAAGUUAGACUAACUUCAUAAGUGGGGCUGGUGUCCUUAGCUACCAAGUGUGCCUGAAAGGGAUUUUGUAUCCCCAUAUCAAGAGAUCGUCAGGUUAAGGAAGGAACUGCCAAGGAGGACUUUUGGCUACACAUCUGGUCCUCCUAUGCUUUGGUUUCUUCCAAUUCUGCAAUAUUGGGCUAAGUGUUGAGAGUGGGUGGUAUAGAAGCAGAUUUAAUUGAACCACAGGCUGUGGGAUGCGCCUGCCUCAAGGCUUGCUGUUUAGAUCACUCAAAGAGCUUUCAGACAAAAUACCUGAGACACUGAAUAUGAAAAUGGGCUCUGCUAGUUUCUUAGAAGCCUUGCCUAUCCUGGCAGCCUGGCAGGAAAAGCUAGCCUAGAAGGAGUGCCUGCUAAGGUUAGUAUAAGUGAGGUACAUCAGCAGACCAUGUGGUAGGUAUUACUGAAUCUUUUCUGUAUUUCCUUUAAUGUCAUUGUCUUAUGCAGCUUUUAUGAAUUAAUUAAUCAGUUUUCAAAAGGCCAUGUUAGUGAGACUGUCAGAGCUUUUAACCCCUCCUUAGUAUAAUUAAAAAAACUACAAUGUGUGAGGGUGGUGAGGGAAGAGAGAGACCCUCUCAUAUUGUUUUAUACUCAGAAAAGAAAAGAGAAGCAAAACUAAAGGCAGGUAGCCUGGCACCUAGGAACAGACCCAAAACCAAGGAACCAGACCCGAAACCAGGCCUGGGCCUGCCUGACCUAAGCCUGGUAGUUAAAAUUCUACCCCUGACCUAGCAACUGAUGUUAUCUCUAGAUUAUAGAAAGACAUUGUAAAACUUCCCGGUCUGUUCUAUUUCACUCUGACCACCGUUGCAUGCAGCCCCUGUCACGUACCCCCUGCUUGCUCAAUCGAUCAUGACCCUCUCACACGGACCCCCCUUAGAGUUGUGAGCCCUUAAAAGGGACAGGAAUUGCUCACUCGGGGAGCUCGGAUUUUAAGACACUAGCCUGCUGAUGCUCCCAGCUGAUUAAAGCCACUCCCUUCACUAUCUUGGUGUCUGAGGGGUUUUGUCUGCGGCUUGUCCUGCUACAUUUCUUGGUUCCCUGACCAGGAAGCGAGGUGAUUAACGGAUGGUUGAGGCAGCUCCUUAGGCGACUUUAGCCUGCCCUGUGGAACAUCCCUGCGGGGGACUCCAACCAGCCAAAGCAACGCGGAUCCUGAGAGUGCUCCUGGGUAGGCACUUGCCCUGAUGGGACGCCUUGCCAGAGCAGUGUGUGGCAGGCCCCCGUGGAGGAUCAGCACAGUGGCUGAACACCAGGAAGGAACUGGCAUUUGGAGUCUGG